rnacentral:rRNA from 1 species
GACGAACGCUGGCGGCGUGCCUAAUACAUGCAAGUAGAACGCUGAAGGAGGAGCUUGCUUCUCUGGAUGAGUUGCGAACGGGUGAGUAACGCGUAGGUAACCUGCCUGGUAGCGGGGGAUAACUAUUGGAAACGAUAGCUAAUACCGCAUAAGAGUAGAUGUUGCAUGACAUUUACUUAAAAGGUGCAAUUGCAUCACUACCAGAUGGACCUGCGUUGUAUUAGCUAGUUGGUGAGGUAACGGCUCACCAAGGCAACGAUACAUAGCCGACCUGAGAGGGUGAUCGGCCACACUGGGACUGAGACACGGCCCAGACUCCUACGGGAGGCAGCAGUAGGGAAUCUUCGGCAAUGGACGGAAGUCUGACCGAGCAACGCCGCGUGAGUGAAGAAGGUUUUCGGAUCGUAAAGCUCUGUUGUAAGAGAAGAACGAGUGUGAGAGUGGAAAGUUCACACUGUGACGGUAGCUUACCAGAAAGGGACGGCUAACUACGUG